rnacentral:rRNA from 1 species
ACUCCUACGGGAGGCAGCAGUGGGGAAUAUUGCACAAUGGGCGCAAGCCUGAUGCAGCCAUGCCGCGUGUAUGAAGAAGGCCUUCGGGUUGUAAAGUACUUUCAGCAGUGAGGAGGCGGGUACGUUAAUAGCGUGCUCGUUUGACGUUAGCUGCAGAAGAAGCACCGGCUAACUCCGUGCCAGCAGCCGCGGUAAUACGGAGGGUGCGAGCGUUAAUCGGAAUUACUGGGCGUAAAGCGCAUGCAGGUGGUUUGUUAAGUCAGAUGUGAAAGCCCGGGGCUUAACCUCGGAAUAGCAUUUGAAACUGGCAGACUAGAGUACUGUAGAGGGGGUAGAAUUUCAGGUGUAGCGGUGAAAUGCGUAGAGAUCUGAAGGAAUACCGGUGGCGAAGGCGGCCCCCUGGACAGAUACUGACACUCAGAUGCGAAAGCGUGGGGAGCAAACAGGAUUAGAUACCCUGGUAGACAUC